ensembl:lncRNA
UUUGUAGAUUACAAUUUUAAUGGUUUGGCAUUAUAUUAAGUAGUGUGGAAAUAUAGUUAGAAAUGUCCAUGGAUAACAUUAGCAGUGGAGAGGAAGGAGAGGAGGAAGACUGGAUAGGAAGAAGAGUGAAGGAGACAGAUGAGGAAAGGCAGCCGGUGAAGAAUGGCAGUGGUAGAACAUCAGCAGACGAAAAAGCAUAAAGCCUCUGAUUGCCCCGUGUUGACAAAUGCCCUGUUGUCCUGCAAACAAUGUUUGAAGAUCCACUGACUGAACUUUGGCUGGCAUUUGACCAUGGAAACGCGACUGUAUUCAGUGACACGAUCAAGAUGCUUGAAGGCCAGGACCACUGUGCUGUGGACUACGCUGCAAUUCUGAGAAACGUUGAGGCAAAAUUGACUGCAAGACGUGAUGACAACUUCAUCCCAGUGGUCAGAGGACUUCUGAGAGAGCUGGAGGAAAAUGGAGCAAUGUCUAAAGAGAGCUUUCUCAAAAUAUCCCAAUCAUUCUUCACUAUGGCUGUGAACUACUUGCAAGCAUGGGGAAAG